rfam:Nematostella vectensis strain CH2 x CH6 NEMVEscaffold_89_Cont11633, whole genome shotgun sequence.
CUUGUGGCUUUCCUAAAAGCCAUUCCAUAUCUAAAAGAAAGUAAAU